CGGAAGACCUGGUGGGGUACCACGCCACACUGUGUGCGUACCGAAAGGCACCACUGGCCACUGGCGCCCUCCGGCCACAGCAGGAAGGCCCCGAGCACGUCUCUCCGCAGCAGGUUUGGCCAGGACUGGGUUUGAACCCACCACCCUCAGCAUAUGGGGCCGGCGCCCUCCUCACUGAGCCACAGGCACCGCCGGCAAUAUCCAGCUUUAAGAUACUGUGUGCACUGCAGUCUUAGAUCCUUCCUGAGCACCUGCUAUGUGCCCAGACAUGUCCUGGACACUGGGGACACAGGUCUCCCCUAAAACGAUGACAUCUCUGCUUGCCCUCCUGGAGCUGGCGUUCUUGUUGAGGAGAAAGACAUUAA